rnacentral:lncRNA from 1 species
CUUAACAUUUCAACACAGGAGCAAUGCUCAAGAACCCCUGAUGUCUCCCGACCCACCAGGAUAGGGAUGCUUUUUUGUGGGGGAGGGAAUGCCAGGGUCUGGCUACCUUGUCCAGGCUGGCCUUGGACUUGCAGCGACCCUCCUGCCUCAGCCUCCCGGGUACUGAGAUGAGAGGCAGGCACCACCAUGCCCUGCUAAGGAUGUGUUUGCUCCCAUUUUCACUGGAGCCUGGGAGGUCCUCACUUUUCAUGGGCAGCACAGGCUUAGUGCUGCAAAGGGCCGGGACAUCAGGGAUAAGAGCAGGUGGGGGACCGGGAUCUGCCACUGGGCCAGGCCAGGCCAGAGCCAGGUCUGCGCCUCCAGGAAGCGCGGGCAGCCUCCGGCGAGCCUGGGCACAUGCGGAGUGAUGUCCUCCCGGCCCACACUCCAGGGCGCUGGAGGCCCAGCCCAGCGCCGCCCCCCUUCUCACAGUAGGGCUGGGCACACAGUAGGUCUCUGCGCUCCGAAGAAGGCAGGGUGGAUUUCCAGGCCCAAGCCGCUUGCUUAAAUGACCCACGCUUGCAGGGGUGGGGUGUCAGGCCAGCUGGGCACUGGGAGAAAGUCCGGGCAUCCACCCCGCCCUCCAGCCGCUGGGCAAGGGCCAUAGGGGAACUGGGGAGAUCCCGGGAAGCAGGGGUACGGGAGGGGUCUCAGCGAGCAGCUGUCGUGGAGGGCCUGGGGCCACCCUUAUACCCCGUCCCUACAAACACUGGGGACACAGGAUCCACAAGGAGCGAGGCCGAGCGGGCUGCAGGUGGGGGAUGGGAACAGCCCAGAAAAACCAGACAAAGGGGCAGGGCUGGGCCAGCCCGGGCUGCAGACCACCCCAGCUCCUCAUCCAGCCUGGGAACUGGCAGGACACGCUGAAAGGUGACCCAGAGUCCCGGUGUCAGCUGCUCCUGCCUGGCACUGCCCCAGCAGGGCAGCCCGGGGCUCCUCUGCCCGGCUCUCCACUGUCCCUGGGCCCUGAGCCGCCACACUUGUCCCACAGAGCUGAGACAG